UACGUAGGUGGCAAGCGUUGUCCGGAAUUAUUGGGCGUAAAGCGCGCGCAGGCGGUCCUUUAAGUCUGAUGUGAAAGCCCACGGCUCAACCGUGGAGGGUCAUUGGAAACUGGGGGACUUGAGUGCAGGAGAGAAGAGUGGAAUUCCACGUGUAGCGGUGAAAUGCGUAGAGAUGUGGAGGAACACCAGUGGCGAAGGCGACUCUUUGGUCUGUAACUGACGCUGGAGGCGCGAAAGCGUGGGGAGCGAACAGG
rnacentral:rRNA from 1 species